AUUGAACGCUGGCGGCAUGCUUUACACAUGCAAGUCGGACGAGUGGCGAACGGGUGAGUAACGCAUCGGAACGUACCGAGUAAUGGGGGAUAACUGUCCGAAAGGACAGCUAAUACCGCAUAUUAUUCGAGCGGCCGAUGUCUGAUUGGCUGGUUGGCGGGGUAAAGGCCAACCAAGGCGACGAUCAGUAGCGGGUCUGAGAGGAUGAUCCGCCCAACCUGGACUUAGGGACGGCCCAGACGCCUACCGGGAGACGCAGUUGGGAAUUUUUGACUAUUGGCUCGAGCCUGAUCCAGGCAUGCCGAGUGUCUGAAGAAGGCCUUCGGGUUUUAAAGGACUUUUGUCAGGGAAGCGGUACCUGAAGAAUAAGCACCGGCUAACUACGUGCCAGCAGCCGCGGUAAUAC
rnacentral:rRNA from 1 species